CAGUCGCCGCGGUAAUACGAAGGGUGCAAGCGUUACUCGGAAUUACUGGGCGUAAAGCGUGCGUAGGUGGUGGUUUAAGUCCGUUGUGAAAGCCCUGGGCUCAACCUGGGAAUUGCAGUGGAUACUGGGUCACUAGGGUGUGGUAGAGGAUAGUGGAAUUUCCGGUGUAGCAGUGAAAUGCGUAGAGGUCGGAAGGAACAUCUGUGGCGAAGGCGACUAUCUGGGCCAACACUGACACUGAGGCACGAAAGCGUGGGGAGCAAACAGGAUUAGAUACCCCUGUAGUCCCUGUCUCUUAUAC
rnacentral:rRNA from 1 species